UACGUAGGGCGCGAGCGUUUGUCCGGAAUUAUUGGGCGUAAAGAGCUCGUAGGCGGUCUGUCACGUCGGCUGUGAAAACCCGAGGCUCAACCUCGGGCCUGCAGUCGAUACGGGCAAACUAGAGUACUGCAGGGGAGACUGGAAUUCCUGGUGUAGCGGUGAAAUGCGCAGAUAUCAGGAGGAACACCGAUGGCGAAGGCAGGUCUCUGGGCCACUACUGACGCUGAGAAGCGAAAGCAUGGGGAGCGAACAGG
rnacentral:rRNA from 1 species